CCUACGGGAGGCAGCAGUAGGGAAUAUUGCACAAUGGGCGAAAGCCUGAUGCGGCAACGCCGCGUGCGCGAUGAAGGCCUUCGGGUCGUAAAGCGCUUUUCGGGGAGAUGAGGAAGGACAGUAUCCCCGGAAUAAGUCUCGGCUAACCACGUGCCAGCAGCCGCGGUAAAACGUAGGAGGCAAGCGUUAUCCGAAUUUACUGGGCGUAAAGCGCGUGCAGGCGGUUCGGUAAGUUGGAUGUGAAAUCUCCUGGCUCAACUGGGAGAGGUCGUUCAAUACUGUCGGACUAGAGGAUGGCAGAGGGAGGUGGAAUUCCGGGUGUAGUGGUAAAAUGCGUAGAUAUCGGGAGGAACACCAGUGGCGAAGGCGACCUCCUGGACCAUUCCUGACGCUCAGACGCGAAAGCUAGGGGAGCGAACGGGAUUAGAUCCCCCUGUAGU
rnacentral:rRNA from 1 species